AAUGAACGCUAGCGAUAGGCCUAACACAUGCAAGUCGAGGGGCAGCACAUGAGGUAGCAAUACCGAUGGUGGCGACCGGCGCACGGGUGAGUAACACGUAUGCAACCUGCCUUCAACAAGGGAAUAACCCGUUGAAAGACGGACUAAUACCCUAUAAUACAGGGGUUCCGCAUGGGAAUAUUUGUUAAAGAUUUAUCGGUUGAAGAUGGGCAUGCGUUCCAUUAGCUAGUUGGUGAGGUAACGGCUCACCAAGGCAACGAUGGAUAGGGGAACUGAGAGGUUUAUCCCCCACACUGGUACUGAGACACGGACCAGACUCCUACGGGAGGCAGCAGUGAGGAAUAUUGGUCAAUGGGCGCAAGCCUGAACCAGCCAUGCCGCGUGCAGGAUGACGGUCCUAUGGAUUGUAAACUGCUUUUGUACGGGAAGAAACACCGAUUCGUGAAUCGGCUUGACGGUACCGUAAGAAUAAGGAUCGGCUAACUCCGUGCCAGCCGCCGCAGUAA
rnacentral:rRNA from 1 species